AUGGAGGCUGGACUGUAAACUGUUAACUAAUUCUGCAGAAUCGGCUCAUCAUCAUCAUGUCUGGUCUAGAAAAUUGUACAUUUCCAUGUGGUGUAUGUGCAUAUGUAUAAAGUCAUCAGUUAAGUUAAUAAAAUAUUUCAUAUAAACACCUAGUAACACUUCCAUCCUUCACAAUGUCGCUCUCUCAGCAGCAGCUUGUUGUACAUACUUGUUUGCUCCUCAGCAUUAGUACACACGGUUCUCCCAGCCAAGUGUUCACAAUGCCUUCAGAUGUUGCUGUACAGGAUUUCAGAAAUAUUUGCAUUAGGUUUGAAACAUUCUCUUUCUGUUCACAUUUAUUGUCUGUCACUGGAAGUAAAUACAGGAACUGAAGAUUU